AGGGAUACAGGGUCAUUAUUGUUAACAGUAAACGGGAGUCUCCUGGUCAAAACGGGAGACUUGAAUUCCUGAAAUUAGGCCUUUUUAGGUCACUAUCUGCAGCGCCCAGUCAAAAAAAGAGACACAUCUAGGAUAAUAAUAUAAAAACAUAUAUAAUAUCUAGGGCUUCUAGAGUUCGGGUUUUAUUUUUGAUCACGUGAUGCACCUUUAAACAUAUUUUGAGCCGAUUCACUUUCUUAAUCAAACACUAAUCACCAAAGGAAGUUGAUUCUUUUUUUUCCCUCCUCAUAUCUUGAUUGAGUUCACAAACGACGUGCAUUGAGCUCCCCUGAUUCUAUUUGUCAUGCUAAAGAAUAACUAAGUGGAGAUCAAUGUAGAGGCCGUUUCUUUGAUGAAACAUUCAUCUGAUGCAGAAACCAUAAGGCAAAAAAUGAAAGAGCCAUUUUUAAUUAUCGCCAGAAAAUAAUUAACAAUCCUGAAAUGCCUGCCGAUUUCCUCACCGUUUUCUCACGGCUUCUUGACACACAAGGCCUGAUUGAACUGGACUUUGUGAUGAUGUUUGGAGACCAGUGUUGAGAAUACAGAUGGAGUUUCUCAAAUUCCAGCCAAAGGAAGAAAAAAGGCUGCAGGAAUUUGUCCUGUCCAAGCUGCUGAACAUCCUGUGAAUUUUAAAAAGGCAGGAACUAGUUUGGAAGAGCACUUUCAAAACAUUGACAGAAGUUCCCGACCUUACCUGCUGUCUGUUGGUGCAAAGAAAAACUGUAUCCACCAUUAUUUCAUUAUUGUGAGCAAACGGGCAACGUGUGAGGCUGAAAGCUCCCUGGGAUCAUUUGAUUGUACACUUCUCUGUCAAGCCUGCACACAUUCAUUCAGACUGCAGUCUACAACAUUGAUGUAGGCAACCUUAAAGGAAACCCUUGAGUGAGAGAACUAAGAGCUAGACUAUUCAACUGUUAACAUUUGAAAAGCACACAUGAAGAAACGUUUGUAAAUAGUUUGAAUAAAAACUUUAAUGACGUUCAUUGUUCAGUAAGUGACUUUGAAAAAGAGCCCACUACAAUCUUGACAAUUGAAUGUUCUGUUUCUAAUCGCAAGACUGUGGAUAUGUGUGCUUCUGGUGAUGCAAGCAUCAGGUGCAGCUACAGACCACAGGUAUUGAUGAAAUACAAACUAAAAUUCAAGCUUGCUUUGACCAAAUUGAAAACCCUUUCACUUUUUUAAAUUCUGAAACUAAAUGGACUAAUUGUUUCACUCAAAAGUGGGAAAAAAUACUUGAAGUAAGGUUUGACGUACGACGCAACAAAACCACUGGAAACUAUGACCAGAUUCUAGUUACAGACAAAUAUGUCUACCUUCCAAUUCUCAAAACAAUACAAUCUGUUUUAAAAAGAAAUGCAGAUAUUUCUAAAGAGUUUCAGUCAAGUUACAAACGUAGAGAAGGUGUUUAUUAUGAUUUGAAUGAUGGAUCUUACUGGAGGAGGCAUGCUCUUUUUUUUUUCCUGGGAAAAAUAUGCAUUACAAAUUCAACUUUAUUAUGAUUCUUUUGAAAAUGCAAACCCACUAGGAUCUAAACGAGAGAUACACAGAUUGGGCUGCAUAUAUUUUAUUUUGAGAAAUUUGCCUCAUUGAAUUCAGUUCUAAUGAGUAUUCAUUUGGUUGUGCUUUUUCACACACAGGAUGUUAAAACAUACAGGCUUAAUUCUAUAUUGGAGACAGUCAUUAAUGACUUAACAAAUGCUAGACCACUGUAAACAGGUGUUGGAAAAUCCAACAUUGACAUCUGCAUUUGGUGUUAAACAAACUUGCUUGUUAAACUCUUGCAGUAUUUCCAUACAAGCGAAAAUUUUGCAACAGAUAUAAUGUGUAAUAUUCCUGAAGGGGUCGCACAAUACGAGCUAAAACUGGUAUUCAAGUAUCUACUGGAAAACAUUGUUUCUCCUCAAAAACUGCAUGACAGAAUUCAGAGUUACAAUUCUGGGUACUUGGAAAGAAAAAACCGUCCAUCAGGAGCUAAAUUAGAUGACAGCUGUAAUGAUUUAGGCAUAGAUGCUAUUCAGUCUUGGUGUUUACUGUCUACAGCUGUUGACACAGAUUGUAAAUAUUGUGUUCUCUCCGAUCUUAACAGAAGGUAUUACAGUUUCUUGGAAGCGUCUGAUUACAGAACAUCAUAAAUUGUUUACAGUGCUGUUUCCUGAGAUAAAUGUGUUGCUUAAUUUGAGCCGGAUCCUGCCGGAACAGGAUCCGGCACCUCUCAAAUUUGAUUUUUUUUCGUUCCGGCACCUAAUUUGCCCGGAUCCGGUACCUCUCGCGACAUGAUUUAUUAUUUUUCCCACUGUUUGCAUUGUAAAAAAUAUAAUAAAAGCGAUCAGAGUUAAAGUUG